rnacentral:rRNA from 1 species
GAGUUUGAUCAUGGCUCAGAUUGAACGCUGGCGGCAUGCUUUACACAUGCAAGUCGGACGGCAGCACAGAGAAGCUUGCUUCUUGGGUGGCGAGUGGCGAACGGGUGAGUAACAUAUCGGAACGUACCGAGCAGUGGGGGAUAACUAAUCGAAAGAUUAGCUAAUACCGCAUAUUUUCUGAGGAAGAAAGCAGGGGACCUUUGGGCCUUGCGCUGUUUGAGCGGCCGAUAUCUGAUUAGCUAGUUGGUGGGGUAAUGGCUUACCAAGGCGACGACGGGUAGCCGGCCUGAGAGGGUGACCGGCCACACUGGGACUGAGACACGGCCCAGACUCCUACGGGAAGCAGCAGUGGGGAAUAUUGCACAAUGGGCGCAAGCCUGAUGCAGCGACGCCGCGUGAGGGAUGACGGCCUUCGGGUUGUAAACCUCUGUUAGCAUCGAAGAAGCGAAAGUGACGGUAGGUGCAGAGAAAGCGCCGGCUAACUACGUGCCAGCAGCCGCGGUAAUACGUAGGGCGCGAGCGUUGUCCGGAAUUAUUGGGCGUAAAGAGCUUGUAGGCGGUUGGUCGCGUCUGCUGUGAAAGGCUGGGGCUUAACCCUGGUUUUGCAGUGGGUACGGGCUAACUAGAGUGCAGUAGGGGAGACUGGAAUUCCUGGUGUAGCGGUGGAAUGCGCAGAUAUCAGGAGGAACACCGAUGGCGAAGGCAGGUCUCUGGGCUGUAACUGACGCUGAGAAGCGAAAGCAUGGGGAGCGAACAGGAUUAGAUACCCUGGUAGUCCAUGCCGUAAACGUUGGGCACUGGGUGUGGGGGACAUUCCACGUUUUCCGCGCCGUAGCUAACGCAUUAAGUGCCCCGCCUGGGGAGUACGGCCGCAAGGCUAAAACUCAAAGAAAUUGACGGGGGCCCGCACAAGCGGCGGAGCAUGCGGAUUAAUUCGAUGCAACGCGAAGAACCUUACCAAGGCUUGACAUAUACUGGACUGCGUCAGAGAUGGCGUUUCCCUUCGGGGCUGGUAUACAGGUGGUGCAUGGUUGUCGUCAGCUCGUGUCGUGAGAUGUUGGGUUAAGUCCCGCAACGAGCGCAACCCUCGUUCUAUGUUGCCAGCACGUGAUGGUGGGGACUCAUAGGAGACUGCCGGGGUCAACUCGGAGGAAGGUGGGGAUGACGUCAAAUCAUCAUGCCCCUUAUGUCUCGGGCUUCACGCAUGCUACAAUGGCCGGUACAGAGGGUUGCGAUACUGUGAGGUGGAGCUAAUCCCUAAAAGCCGGUCUCAGUUCGGAUUGGGGUCUGCAACUCGACCCCAUGAAGUCGGAGUCGCUAGUAAUCGCAGAUCAGCAACGCUGCGGUGAAUACGUUCCCGGGCCUUGUACACACCGCCCGUC